rnacentral:rRNA from 1 species
CCUACGGGAGGCAGCAGUGGGGAAUAUUGGACAAUGGGGGCAACCCUGAUCCAGCCAUGCCGCGUGUGUGAAGAAGGCCUUCGGGUUGUAAAGCACUUUAAGUUGGGAGGAAAGGGUUCUGGCUAAUAUCCAGUAUCUAUGACGUUACCAACAGAAUAAGCACCGGCUAACUCCGUGCCAGCAGCCGCGGUAAUACGGAGGGCGCAAGCGUUAAUCGGAAUUACUGGGCGUAAAGCGCGCGUAGGCGGCUAGUUAAGCUAGAUGUGAAAUCCCUGGGCUCAACCUGGGAACUGCAUUUAGAACUGACUGGCUAGAGUGCAGAAGAGGAGUGUGGAAUUUCCGGUGUAGCGGUGAAAUGCGUAGAGAUCGGAAGGAACAUCAGUGGCGAAGGCGACACUCUGGUCUGACACUGACGCUGAGGUGCGAAAGCGUGGGUAGCAAACAGGAUUAGAUACCCUGGUAGUCCACGCUGUAAACGAUGUCUACUGGCCGUUGGCCUCCUUGAGGGGUUAGUGGCGUAGCUAACGCGAUAAGUAGACCGCCUGGGGAGUACGGCCGCAAGGUUAAAACUCAAAUGAAUUGACGG